rnacentral:rRNA from 1 species
UGAGGAACAUGACCUUCGCGGGGAUAGCCGGCCCAACGGCCGGGUAAUACCGCGUACGACCUUUCGGGGACAUCCCUGGAUGGUGAAAGCAGCAAUGCGCCGAUGGAGUGCCUCGCGGCCUAUCAGCUAGUUGGCGAGGUAAUGGCUCACCAAGGCGACGACGGGUAGCUGGUCUGAGAGGGUGACCGGCCACACGUGGGACUGAGACACAGCCCAGACUCCUACGGGAGCA